rnacentral:misc_RNA from 1 species
AACGCACAUUGCGCCCGCCAGUAUUCUGGCGGGCAUGCCUGUUCGAGCGUCAUUUCAACCCUCAAGCCCAGCUUGGUGUUGGGGAUCGGCAUCGCGCCCUCGGGCGCCCGCCGUCCCCUAAAUCUAGUGGCGGUCCCGCUGCAGCCUCCUCUGCGUAGUAGUUUUCUCCUCGCAAGGGCAGCUCGGUGGUGACCUCGCCGUAAAACCCCCAACUUCUGAAAGGUUGACCUCGAAUCAGGUAGGAAUACCCGCUGAACUUAA